UACGGAGGGGGCUAGCGUUGUUCGGAAUUACUGGGCGUAAAGCGCACGUAGGCGGCUUUGUAAGUUAGAGGUGAAGGCCCGGAGCUCAACUCCGGAACUGCCUUUAAGACUGCAUCGCUUGAACGUCGGAGAGGUAAGUGGAAUUCCGAGUGUAGAGGUGAAAUUCGUAGAUAUUCGGAAGAACACCAGUGGCGAAGGCGACUUACUGGACGACUGUUGACGCUGAGGUGCGAAAGCGUGGGGAGCAAACAGG
rnacentral:rRNA from 1 species